rnacentral:lncRNA from 1 species
AUAGCCCAGCGCUAGCAUCUAGGGUUACGCCGCUUAUCCGCCUCUUAUACGCCGCUUCCGGCGGCUUUGUCGUAAGAGAUAAAAAGAAUGGAAGAGAUGCGAUGACGAUAAUAGAGUUGAGAAAUCUCAUUAUCGAUUGUGUGAUGGUUUCAUAACCAUACCGCAAGAUGAAUCUCUAGUUCUGGUUCGUAUUCACUGAGCGUCUUCUUCUAUGUCUUCUUCUUCUUCUUUUUCUUUUCUCUUCAAUAAUUUUCCAUUAGAGAGGAAACGAGGGGACCUAUGGAGGGGGUGCAAUGAGAAAUGCACUCUUAUCCAAGUUUACCUUCGAAGAUCGGUGUCGAUGGAGGAUCUGGUGAGCUGUGAUCUCUUUGAAAUGAUUGGUUCUUAGAUCCGAUUUGUCGUACACAUAGAAUGUGUAUAUUUUAUGAAAUAUAGUAAUUUUAUGAGCGAAGGUCCCAGCAGAGAGGUAAGAGACUCUGAAUUGAGGCCUCUCGAACUAUAAUACAAACCUUCGCAGAUUAAUUUGCCGAAUCGUAGGAUGCCCAGAAUUAUUUUCCAUUUCUGUUGCAUCUGGAACCCUCGGCUAUAUCUAUACUUGAAUGUUUAACUCCUCUUAUUUUCAUUUGUUCUCGAGUAUAGGUUGCUCAUAUAUGCCUUUCAAAAUCUUUCGAAUUUGCUUCGUUAAUUCGACAAGAUGAUUUGCCAUCUUCUCUUUCAUGUUUUGAUUGAAUUGAUGAGGUAUGGCAUGUAUUUUAAGGCCUAACCAGACCUUUCUUGUCCACAAGCCUUGUUUAACAACGGUGAUUUGGGCAGAUAUUUUAAUGAAUGACAGUUAAAAUGAUGUAGGUCACACCUUUAAAUUUAUAUUAUUAAAUUUUUAUUCGAAAUUAUGUUUAAGUGUUGGUGGAUCAGAAACUUUCUCAGAAAUUCCUGAAUCAAAUUUUAGCCGGCUCUAAUGGAUAAUCCUCUGUUUUCUCGCGGAACAAAGUAAAAGAUUAUACAUGUAUAGUUAAGGGAUUUGGAGUAUCAAGAUUUACAUAAAUUUAGAAGUUAAUAAGGAAAUGAACUCCAUUGCUAGAGAAAAUUCAUAAUUCAGAGCAACAAUUCAUCAUAUUAGUCCUUCGUGGGGAAUGGAUCCAAAUAGCAACUACUUGAGGACAUGAGAUGAUUGAGGGUCUCUUUGUUACCGCAGAAAUUGCAGUAACGGCGCGAUACGUUUUCAGCGCUGAUAAUGGUAGCCUCUAUACGAAGAUUCUAGGUUGAUUUUUGAAUGUGAAUGUUAGGGCCUGGCUUGCCAUGUAAUGACUGGUAAUUUGAGAGUUGGAUAUGGCGAGGUAAUUUGUAACUCUAUCCGAAUACUGAUAAUUAUCCUCGAAGGGACUCGAUAGGUCAUUCCUAGGCUACGAGCUAAUGGGGAUGCCAAGGAUGUGCUUAGCGUCGUCCUAAAUUAAGUCUGCUUUCAGCCUAUGAAUAUUAACAAGCAUGAGAUGAUGGAUGGAAAAUUUGAGACACCUUAACAACUCUCGAGAAAGAGAGAGGGGGAGAAACGCAGAGAGGGAGAGAAAGGGAGAGAUAUACCCUGAGCAAGUCGUCCAAGUGCGUGCUAUGAACAAGUUCCCCAAAUAAAAACACGAUAAAUGUAUUGCCUCUUUGCAAGAAAAUAUGAGGCUGCCUUUGUCUUAAAACCUCCAAAAAUCGCCUAUCCUCUUCUAAAAUGGAGCUCCUUUCGUCACUCCUACGGCACCUGCAUCCUCUGCUGGCCAACUCUUUUCUUUCAAAGUUUCUUUUCAUUUUCAAGAGGAUGAAUGAGAGAACAAGGGAGAUAGGCGUAUUUAUUUGUGGAUGAUUAUUAAGGAGUGACAUUGCCAGCAAUGAGGUUGAGUAGCCUAUGUGAGCUUGACAUGAAAUAUAUUCAAAGGAAUGGCUGAACUCAUGGGUUCUUUCUUACUCAUUCAACGGAAGGUGAACGGAAAUUAAGGAGUUUGUUGAACCAAAAAUUUUAUCGAGAGCAUAAGUCAACUUUUUAAAAUUUAUCAAGAGUUAAAAAAAUGUCAUUUGCUUAUAUCAUACAACUUUCAAAUAAUUUAAAUGUGUAUUAUAUAUAUAAUAUAAUUUGUAAUAAUAAUUAAGUUUAAAAUGUAAAUGACAUUUCAAAUAUGACUUUUUCAUGAAAAAAUUAUAUAAAUCAUCCGUAAUAAAUUGAAUUAAAUUAGAAUUGAAGAAUCGAAAAUAUCGAAAAUUCAAAAUAACAAAGAGCCGAACCCACACAGUAUCAAAUUUUGAUUUGAUUUUAAUUUCUAAGUAAACUUUUAAUUGAAAUCAAAACCAGAAUUGUACACUCCAAAAUAAAGCAACCAAAUAAUCUUUUCCUUGUGAAUGAAAGAUAUAAUGAAGAUAAUUCAUAUUUGUUUGUCUCAAUAAGUUUAAGUCUACAUCUAUAUUUUUUAAUAUAAAUGGCAACCGAUUGCCAAUUUUUAGGCAUCCCACCUUGCUAAACUUAAUAGGAUUAAUUUAGAUAAUAUAUAAUAAACUUGAAACGG